CGCAUCUGUGCAUGCAGCAUAUCAAUAAGCGGAGGAAAAGAAACUAACAAGGAUUCCCUUAGUAACGGCGAGUGAAGCGGGAAGAGCUCAAAUUUGAAAUCUUCAAGGUUUUACCUUGACGAAUUGUAGUUUAAAGAAGUGUUUUCUGUUGAAGUUUUGGUAAAAGUUCUUUGGAAUAGGACAUCAUAGAGGGUGAGAAGUCCCGUAUUUGACCAUUAUUUUCAGCUGUGUGAUACACUUUCAAAGAGUCGGAUUGUUUGGGAAUGCAGUCCAAAAUGGGUGGUAAAUUUCAUCUAAAGCUAAAUAUUGGCGAGAGACCGAUAGCGAACAAGUACCGUGAGGGAAAGAUGAAAAGAACUUUGAAAAGAGAGUUAAACAGUACGUGAAGAUUGUCAAAAGGGAAGCGUUUGACACCAGUGUUGUUUUCUCGAAAAUCAAUUAAAAAGAGUUAGAUUUUGUUGUGUAUUGACCUUAACAGCUUGCAUUUCAAUUUUCUUGCUUUUUUUAAUGCACUUUUCGUUUAACAAGUCAACAUCAGUUUCUUUUGUUGUAAAAAGGUCAUUGGAAGGUGGCUUUCUUUUCGGAGAAAGUGUUUAUAGCCUUUGACUCCUGCAAUCGGAGAGACUGAGGUCUGCAGCGUAGAUCCUUCGGGGUUAGAUACAUUUGUAGCUAAGUUAUAGCUUUUUAUAGACAACUUGUUGACUAUGAUUAGUCUUGUAGCUUACUCGCUUAUGCUAUUUUACCUACGCUUAGGAUGUUGACGCGCGUGUGUGCGUG
rnacentral:rRNA from 1 species